rnacentral:rRNA from 1 species
GGGAUUACCUCAGUAACGGCGAGUGAAGCGGUAAAAGCUCAAAUUUGAAAUCUGGCUCUUUCAGAGUCCGAAUUGUAAUUUGUAGAAGAUGCUUCGGGUGUGGUUCCGGUCUAAGUUCCUUGGAACAGGACGUCAUAGAGGGUGAGAAUCCCGUAUGUGACUGGAUACCUAUGCUCAUGUGAAGCUCUUUCGACGAGUCGAGUUGUUUGGGAAUGCAGCUCAAAAUGGGUGGUAUAUUUCAUCUAAAGCUAAAUAUUGGCCAGAGACCGAUAGCGCACAAGUAGAGUGAUCGAAAGAUGAAAAGCACUUUGGAAAGAGAGUUAAACAGUACGUGAAAUUGUUGAAAGGGAAGCGCUUGCAAUCAGACUUGCCCCUAGGCUCCGAUGGUAACUUGUUACCGUUUAUCUGUCUAGGGUCAGGCCAGCAUCAGUUUGGAUGGUUAGAUAAAGGCUUGAAGAAUGUGGCCCUCUUCGGGGGGUGUUAUAGCUUCAGGUGCAAUGUAGCCUAUCUGGACUGAGGACCGCGCUUCGGCUAGGAUGCUGGCGUAAUGGUUGUAAGCGACCCGUCUUGAAACACGGACCAAGGAGUGUACCUCAUAUGCGAGUGUUUGGGUGUUAAACCCAUACGCGUAAUGAAAGUGAACGGAGGUGAGAACCCUUAAGGGUGCAUCAUCGACCGAUCCUGAUGUCUUCGGAUGGAUUUGAGUAAGAGCAUAUGGGGUGCGACCCGAAAGAUGGUGAUCUAUACGUGAAUAGGGUGAAGCCAGAGGAAACUCUGGUGGAGGCUCGCAGCGGUUCUGACGUGCAAAUCGAUCGUCAAAUUUGCGUAUAGGGGCGAAAGACUAAUCG